UACGACCACAUUACGUUGAAUCAAAGGUUCCCGUACGAUUACCGAAGGUAAGCAACGUCGAGCUUGGUCACUACCUAGAUGGGUGACCGCUCGGGAAUACUAGGUGCUGGA